rnacentral:rRNA from 1 species
CGGACGGGUGAGUAACACGUGGGUAACCUGCCCUCCUUUGGGGGAUAACAUUUGGAAACAGAUGCUAAUACCGCAUAGAUCCAAGAACCGCAUGGUUCUUGGCUGAAAGAUCGCGUAAGCUAUCGCUUUUGGAUGGACCCGCGGCGUAUUAGCUAGUUGGUGAGGUAACGGCUCACCAAGGCGAUGAUACGUAGCCGAACUGAGAGGUUGAUCGGCCACAUUGGGACUGAGACACGGCCCAAACUCCUACGGGAGGCAGCAGUAGGGAAUCUUCCACAAUGGACGCAAGUCUGAUGGAGCAACGCCGCGUGAGUGAAGAAGGCUUUCGGGUCGUAAAACUCUGUUGUUGGAGAAGAAUGGUCGGCAGAGUAACUGUUGUCGGCGUGACGGUAUCCAACCAGAAAGCCACGGCUAACUACGUGCCAGCAGCCGCGGUAAUACGUAGGUGGCAAGCGUUAUCCGGAUUUAUUGGGCGUAAAGCGAGCGCAGGCGGUUUUUUAAGUCUGAUGUGAAAGCCCUCGGCUUAACCGAGGAAGCGCAUCGGAAACUGGGAAACUUGAGUGCAGAAGAGGACAGUGGAACUCCAUGUGUAGCGGUGAAAUGCGUAGAUAUAUGGAAGAACACCAGUGGCGAAGGCGGCUGUCUGGUCUGUAACUGACGCUGAGGCUCGAAAGCAUGGGUAGCGAACAGGAUUAGAUACCCUGGUAGUCCAUGCCGUAAACGAUGAAUGCUAGGUGUUGGAGGGUUUCCGCCCUUCAGUGCCGC